UACGUAGGGGGCGAGCGUUGUCCGGAGUUACUGGGCGUAAAGCGCACGCAGGCGGUCUGCUAAGUUUGGAGUGACAGUUGGUGGCUUAACUGCCAAAGUGCUUCGAAAACUGACAGACUUGAGGGCUUCAGAGGGACACGGAAUUCCGGGUGUAGUGGUGAAAUGCGUAGAGAUCCGGAGGAACACCAGUGGCGAAAGCGGCCACCUGGACUGCACCUGACGCUGAAACGCGAAAGCUAGGGGAGCGAACGGG
rnacentral:rRNA from 1 species